AGUGGCGGACGGGUGAGUAACACAUGGGUAACCUACCCCAAAGUGAGGAAUACCGGCGAGAAAUCGCCGACAAGACCGCAUAUGCCGCGAGCAAAGUCGCGCUUUGGGAUGGGCCUGUGGCCGAUUAGCUGGUUGGUGGGGUAAUGGCCUACCAAAGCGACGAUCGGUAGCUGGUCUGAGAGGAUGAUCAGCCACACUGGGAUUGAGAACGGCCCAGACUCCUACGGGAGGCAGCAGUGAGGAAUUUUCGGCAAUGGGCGCAAGCCUGACCGAGCAACGCCGCGUGCAGGACGAAGGUCUUCGGAUCGUAAACUGCUUUUCUCGGGGAUGAAUGACAGUACCCGAGGAAGAAGCCUCGGCUAACUACGUGCCAGCAGCCGCGGUAAUA
rnacentral:rRNA from 1 species